UACGUAGGCAGCAAGCGUUGUUCGGAAUUACUGGGCGUAAAGGGCUCGUAGGCGGCCAACUAAGUCAGACGUGAAAUCCCUCGGCUUAACCGGGGAACUGCGUCUGAUACUGGUUGGCUUGAAUCCGGGAGAGGGAUGUGGAAUUCCAGGUGUAGCGGUGAAAUGCGUAGAUAUCUGGAGGAACACCGGUGGCGAAGGCGGCAUCCUGGACCGGUAUUGACGCUGAGGAGCGAAAGCCAGGGGAGCAAACGGG
rnacentral:rRNA from 1 species